UACCUGGUUGAUCCUGCCAGUAGUCAUAUGCUUGUCUCAAAGAUUAAGCCAUGCAAGUCUAAGUACGAGCUCUCGUACAGUGAAACUGCGAAUGGCUCAUUAAAUCAGUUAUGGUUCAUUUGAUCGUACAGUUUACUUGGAUAACUGUGGUAAUUCUAGAGCUAAUACAUGCGAGAAGCGCCGACCUCGCGGGAGGCGUGCAUUUAUCAGACCAAAAACCGGCCGCGUCUUCGGGCGCGUUCGCCUUGGUGACUCUGGAUAACUUUGCGGAUCGCACGGUCUAGCACCGGCGACGGAUCAUUCAAGUGUCUGCCCUAUCAACUUUCGUCGGUACGGUAUUUGCCUACCGAGGUUCUUACGGGUGACGGGGAAUCAGGGUUCGAUUCCGGAGAGGGAGCCUGAGAAACGGCUACCACAUCCAAGGAAGGCAGCAGGCGCGCAAAUUACCCAUUCCCGACGCGGGGAGGUAGUGACGAAAAAUAACAAUGCAGGACUCGUUCGAGGCCCUGUAAUUGGAAUGAGUACACUUUAAAAGCUUUAACGAGUAUCCAUUGGAGGGC
rnacentral:ncRNA from 1 species